AUUUAUAUAGUUUAAUAAUUAAAACAUUACAUUUUCACUGUGAAAUUAAUAAAGUAGUAUUUAUUUAUAAAUA
rnacentral:tRNA from 1 species